AGUGAACGCUGGCGGCAGGCCUAACACAUGCAAGUCGAACGGCAGCACAGUAAGAGUUUGCUCUUACGGGUGGCGAGUGGCGGACGGGUGAGGAAUACAUCGGAAUCUACUUUUUCGUGGGGGAUAACGUAGGGAAACUUACGCUAAUACCGCAUACGAUCUACGGGUGAAAGCAGGGGAUCUUCGGGCCUUGCGCGAUUGAAUGAGCCGAUGUCGGAUUAGCUAGUUGGCGGGGUAAAGGCCCACCAAGGCGACGAUCCGUAGCUGGUCUGAGAGGAUGAUCAGCCACACUGGAACUGAGACACGGUCCAGACUCCUGCGGGAGGCAGCAGUGGGGAAUAUUGGACAAUGGGCGCAAGCCUGAUCCAGCCAUACCGCGUGGGUGAAGAAGGCCUUCGGGUUGUAAAGCCCUUUUGUUGGGAAAGAAAAGCAGCAGGUUAAUACCCCGCUGUUCUGACGGUACCCGAAGAAUAAGCACCGGCUAACUUCGUG
rnacentral:rRNA from 1 species